rnacentral:lncRNA from 13 species
CCAGAACCCUAUGAGCUCUGGUUGAAAGUAGUGCUCUAUAAAGGGAACAGGGGGCUAUUUGGGAUGCCUCCAUAGUCUUCUCCAUGUUUUUUUUUUUUGUUGUAUCCUUUGCAUAAUGACCGACAAAACAAAGAAGUGCCUGUUGGCUUGUGCACUGACCACUGUCCACAGAGUUUUGCAAGGGAAAUGUGACCCUCCGGCUUGGCAUGCAAACUCACGGCUACGUUUAGAUGUACAUUUUCACGUGGGCAUCAUCGUUGAGGAUCAGUCAGAGAACAUAGUUUUCAUUCUUUGACGGUUCAGCAGAACGCGUGCCGCUGUUUUCCGUGACCGUGGCUAUAGGUGUUAACACCAAGAAACGGCCGACACAAACACCAUGGAGUUGAAGAGUUGGGUGGCUUUGGCCUCCCUGGUCAGUCUUCUCUGGAGUCCUACUUUUUUCUUAUUUACAGGCGCAGGAAAAAAUGGACAGUCAUGUGACAUGCAUUGUCUGAAUAAGGACAACAAUAUUUUGAUAGUUGACGCUGGCUUCACAGGUACCCUGAAACAAUGUUGUGGAAAUGCAUCUAAAACCAUCGCAGACAUAUUUCAAACGACGUGCAGUGUUUCAUUCAACACUCCUGGUAUUCGCUUUCAGGAAGACGGCAAGGAUGUGGAAUUUUCUGUGCGGGAAGUAAAUAAAUCUCAUCUCCUGUACACGUCAAAGAAGUACGUGAAUGGAUUGUUUGUGUGUGUGAUGGUUGGACGGAAUUGCAGCGAGACACUGGACUCACUCAGGGCAAACAUUACAGCUUACAAUAAGAAAUGGCCUUCCAUCGAGUCUACGACAACCAUCUGCAGUGUCUCCUGUUUCAGCACCUCUGAACAUUGCAGGACAUCCGCAUAUGAUGAAGGAGUCUGCAAAAACUCCAAAAACCAAGAUAAGUUCCUCAUCAACGUAACAGCACCAGGGAGCUUGUGUGUCAACUGUAAUGAACCAUUCAAAGACCCUGUGGGAAAGUUGCCUCCUCCAGCGAUCUUUGACACGGGAAGUGGAGUUCACAUCGAUGGUGAAAAGGCUUCGAAGGCCAUGAAAGAUAUCGCCUCUCUGGUCAAUAUGAUGAAUGAGUCCUCAGCUUCUGUGUCGAUGGGCUCGGUCACUGGGGUCGUAGUGAAGCCCAAAGAGAAGACCGACAUCGAGGAAGUCUCCUUUGGGUACUCUUCCAACUCCAACAUUAAGAUUGUUGAAGAUCGGAAGUCUCUGGAUGGCUUCUCUAGGUCUGUAUCCAUCACAAAGGAAGCAUUUGAAAAGGCCUACAACUUAAGCAACGGCAGUGCAUUUGCCGGUGUUUUCCGAUUCCCCAACAUGUCCAAGGAUGUAAACAACAGCACAGUUCUGCAUAACGAAGUGGUAGCGAUCGAGAUGGGCUGUAUCAUUAACAAUUUAACCGACAAGAUAAAUCUUAAUUUUCUAAACGUCCAUAAGGGGGGAGCCAUUCCAUCGUGCCAGUCAUGGAACGGUGAAGGGAGUCAACCCAACUGGACAGACUAUGGCUGUUUGACCAUUGUGAUAGGGGACAACAUAACCUGCAGGUGUACACACCUGACUUUCUUUGCUGUGCUAAUGGUAAGGUUCCCUCGUUCUCUUAUAGGGUGGCAAAAUUCAGGUAACGUUCCCAAAAUUCCCAGG